rnacentral:rRNA from 1 species
CUACGUGCCAGCAGCCGCGGUAAUACGUAGGUCCCGAGCGUUGUCCGGAUUUAUUGGGCGUAAAGCGAGCGCAGGCGGUUAGAUAAGUCUGAAGUUAAAGGCUGUGGCUUAACCAUAGUACGCUUUGGAAACUGUUUAACUUGAGUGCAAGAGGGGAGAGUGGAAUUCCAUGUGUAGCGGUGAAAUGCGUAGAUAUAUGGAGGAACACCGGUGGCGAAAGCGGCUCUCUGGCUUGUAACUGACGCUGAGGCUCGAAAGCGUGGGGAGCAAACAGGAUUAGAUACCCUGGUAGUCCACGCCGUAAACGAUGAGUGCUAGGUGUUAGACCCUUUCCGGGGUUUAGUGCCGUAGCUAACGCAUUAAGCACUCCGCCUGGGGAGUACGACCGCAAGGUUGAAACUCAAAGGAAUUGACGGGGGCCCGCACAAGCGGUGGAGCAUGUGGCUUAAUUCGAAGCAACGCGAAGAA